rnacentral:piRNA from 1 species
UAUAAGCCGCUGCCCCUCUGGGACGA